rnacentral:rRNA from 1 species
UACGUAGGGGGCAAGCGUUGUCCGGAAUCAUUGGGCGUAAAGAGCGUGUAGGCGGCCCGAUAAGUCCGCUGUGAAAGUCCAGGGCUCAACCCUGGGAUGCCGGUGGAUACUGUCGGGCUCGAGUCCGGAAGAGGAGUGUGGAAUUCCUGGUGUAGCGGUGAAAUGCGCAGACAUCAGGAGGAACACCAAUGGCGAAGGCAGCACUCUGGGACGUGACUGACGCUGAGACGCGAAAGCGUGGGGAGCAAACAGG